AUGGCUGUCACUCCUGAGCUUCCCAUCUGUUCUGACAUGCUUGCCGUUCCUGUGGAGAUACUCCAGACUCGCUGGCGCCGGAAGAAUGGUGCUAUGGUGGAACAGGUCAAGGUACGUUGGUCUCCGACGACUGCCAUGGAAGACACAUGGGAAGACCGCGUAGCUCUCUUCGAUCGCUUUCCUCAAGCUGCGGCUUGGGGGCAAGCCGCCACUCAAGGAGGGGGGGGGGAUGUGAGCGCCCUGGCUACAGCAACCCCACUGGCAGGAGGGACCAAGCCCAACGAGCCACGACCCAACAGGGCCCGCAAGCCCAACCAACGCUUCCGUGGGCCGGAGUGGGUGACGGCCCAGCCUACCGCUACUUAA
rnacentral:rRNA from 1 species